rnacentral:rRNA from 1 species
GGGAAUAUUGCACAAUGGGCGCAAGCCUGAUGCAGCCAUGCCGCGUGUGUGAAGAAGGCCUUCGGGUUGUAAGCACUUUCAGCGAGGAGGAAGGGUUCAGUGUUAAUAGCACUGUUCAUUGACGUUACUCGCAGAAGAAGCACCGGCUAACUCCGUGCCAGCAGCCGCGGUAAUACGGAGGGUGCAAGCGUUAAUCGGAAUUACUGGGCGUAAAGCGCACGCAGGCGGUUUGUUAAGUCAGAUGUGAAAUCCCCGCGCUUAACGUGGGAACUGCAUUUGAAACUGGCAAGCUAGAGUCUUGUAGAGGGGGGUGAGAAUUC